GUAAGGAAUAUUGGACAAUGGACGCAAGUCUGAUCCAGCCAUGCCGCGUGAAGGAUUAAGGUCCUCUGGAUUGUAAACUUCUUUUAUAAGGGACGAAAAAAGGCUUUUCUAAGUCGUCUGACGGUACCUUAUGAAUAAGCACCGGCUAACUCCGUGCCAGCAGCCGCGGUAAUACGGAGGGUGCAAGCGUUAUCCGGAUUCACUGGGUUUAAAGGGUGCGUAGGCGGGCAGGUAAGUCAGUGGUGAAAUCCUAGAGCUUAACUCUAGAACUGCCAUUGAUACUAUCUGUCUUGAAGAUUGUGGAGGUAAGCGGAAUAUGUCAUGUAGCGGUGAAAUGCUUAGAUAUGACAUAGAACACCUAUUGCGAAGGCAGCUUACUACGCAUAUAUUGACGCUGAGGCACGAAAGCGUGGGGAUCAAACAGGAUUAGAAACCCGGGUAGUCC
rnacentral:rRNA from 1 species